rnacentral:tRNA from 1 species
GGGGAUUUAGCUCAGUGGUAGAGCACUUGCCUAUCAACCGCAAGGCCCUGGGUUCGGUCCCCAGCUCCG